AGGGCCUGUUGCGCGUCACCAGCUCCGGCUGGGGGAAGGUCAGUCAGGUCGGCAGCCGGCGUGAAGGGCAGUGCCGGCGUGUAAGUCGGGGCGUCGUAGCGCAGGUGCAGCCGUAGCCGAGCGCGACCCGGGCUCGCGGAGCCAAACCUCUAAGGCACUGUUCUAAUGCCAUCCACCAUGAUUUCUCAAGGAGAUAGUUGAAGAACUGUCUCUAUAGAUUUUCUGUCUCCGGACUCACUGUGAAGCAUAACCACUGCAUGCCAACUACUCAUGCAAUUAUGCAGGUGGCAGGAAUGGAAAAGAUUCCUAUGGGGACCAUGGAAACCAGAUGUUAAAAAAGAGAGCACAAGAUGGAGAGAAAAGACUCUGUCCUUUUGCCACUGGAAGGAGGAAAGGAAAGAUUGGGAAAUCUCCUGAACAAGAGUUUAUCUUAGAGGAAGCUGUUGGGCCCACAUCCUUGUCAGAGAAUAAGCCUUAGUCGGAAGGAGGAGACCCUCUGCUUACACCGACAAGCAAACACUCUGGCCUCAGGAUAAAAUUUUCUAAUCACCCUGACUUCAGUCUCAAUUUUAAGAAAUUCAACAUGAACCAUUCACGUUGGCCUCCAAGAGCAUCAGUCAAGAGAGAAGACAACUCGUUUUGCCAUAUAUGCCCAAUCACAAGGAGAUUAUUUUCCCCUAGUAUUUAUACCACAGACAAGAGGAGUCAUCUUACAUUCACGUUUGUACAUCCCUCGUGUCACAACAGGCACUCUCAAUCACUUUUAUUAAGAAGUAUUCUUUAGAGAAGAUACAUUUACAUAGAGUGAUGAUAAUCAUAAGUUUGGAUCAUAAAAAAAAAAAGUUUGGAUCAUGAUAGAAGUCACCCAAUGGAAGUUGUUGUUAUACACUUGUCAUUGCAACGUUGUUACCCUUCUACAUAAGCCUUUUCUAAAAGACUACAUAUAUAGAGGUUAGGGUGUGGAGAUCACAAAGAGAGAUCAAGAACAGAGAAUAAACGAGAACUCAACCAUAGCAUUCUUUGGUGACCAGGUACUUAAUGAUCUAGGAUUAUAGUUCUAAUUAUAGCAUCAGAAAUAUACACACAAGUGUUGUGUCUUAAACAUCUUAGAUAGAAAGUUAUAGUAAACGUUACAUGUUUUGGAAUGUUGUAUCAUAUGGAUUUAAAGUUAGCUUUAGUGAUGAAAAAAACCACUCAUGCUGGAAAACACAUGGGUGGGGUUUGAAAAAUUUGUACCAGGAAAUAUGAGAAUGAAAAAAAGCAAAAGUUUUAAACAUAUGUAAAUACAUCAUGUUAGUUUAAAUAUUUUGCACACACAAGUUAAAAUACAUACUAUAAUUAGAAAUUUGAUUGUUUCGUCUAUAUCCACCAAAUUACAUUAAAUCAAAUGAGACAAAAACUUUGAAAAUUUUUUCGUUGCAAAGUGGGGGAGACCUUUAUAUUUUGAGUUCCUUCAUAGGGCAAAUGCAAAAAAACUACUUCCACCUGAAUAACCCAGUGACUUUUAUGUGUCCAGUUGAAAAAGAUGGGAGUUUUAUGCAGUUUUGCUUCUCUUUGAGUUUAAUUGAACUCAGAGGAAUAGAGUUGUUCAAACAAGCACUUACAGCAAAAUUAAAAACUGAAUUCUCACCUUUGUCAGUUGGCCAAUACAGAAGGCAAUUGAGAGGAUAGUUAUAAUGAUACCAAGCAUUACUGCAUAAAUAAUCCCUAUUAUCACUAUGGGAGAAAAAGAGAACAGAAAAUUACCAAAGUGUGAAAUAAACUACCACAUAUCAACUGAAAAAUAAAACAAUUAAAAUCAGGGUAAUAUCACUUUGUCUUUUUAUAGGAAAUACAUUAAUAUUCUUUUAUGUAUAUUAUAUAUUUAAAAAAAUAGAUUUUUCAUAACCACAUGGGAGACUGGAACUUGGAGCACUAACGUCUUGUCCAAGGUCACACAUCUAAUGACAACCAAGACUCCAGAGUUCCAACUCACUCCCAUUGUUCUUUACAGGACCUCACAGGCAUAAUUAUGGAUAAGAGCCAUGUGGACAUUCUACCUCGAUAUGGAAAAAAACCACACACUCUUUCAUGGUUUCAAAACUAUGAGAGAAAAUAAUGUCUUGAUGUACAAAAGGAUAUUGGACAGAUAUUGAAUCUUGUUGGAAAGUUUUGGAGGAAAUAAACUAAAUAUAAUAUACACUAAUAUUUUAUGACUUGUGUAUACUAAUAAGUGUAGUUCUAAUGUAAUAUACAAUAUAGACUAUACUGGAUGUAUACUAAAAUAUUUCUUAAGUUUUACAUGUUGAAAAUGAAACAAAAUUUAAGUUAGAAGUAGUCUUGCCUAUUUGUGCAUAUUUGUCGUGCUUUCAAAUGAAGUCAAUAGAACUGAAGGCAAGACAUACAAGUAAAAUGGCACAUUUAUUUGGCUAAUUUAUGUUUAAAAUACUUAUUACUGAUUUUUAAAAAGUAAAAGUAGCUUUUCCUGCCACUAAUAUUACCCAACCUUCCUGUCCAUGUAGCUGUAACUCAUGAGCUAGUAAUUCGGUUCUACAACCCAUUUUUCUUGUGUGAAGUAUGGACACAAGCCAACUGUGAAGGGAGACUUAGAAAGGCCAAAUAGUAAAUGAGCUCAUAAAUCAACUAAAGCCUGAUCCACAGCAGCACCAAAGAAGAGGAGUGACAGUCCUCCAGGCACAGAGGGCUGGGAGAAUAACCCCAAAGUGGUAGCAUAAGGACCAAAAUGAAUCAGAAUUGAGAUAUAAAUGGUUCAUAUUUAUUCUUGACAUGUGCCAAUUAAUCAGAUGAUUUUAAGCUUCUUGCUUUCUUUACAAGUAGGAAAGAAGGAAGUUCAAUUGUUUUAUAAGUUCCGACGAAACUUUUCUCAAGUAACUGUGUUGCUUAUAAAGCUAAAAAAACCUAAAUUAAAAGAAAAAGUAUUAUCGCAUUAUGUACUGCUAGUUCCAAAAUAUUUAGGAAAAUAAGAAAUGCAUAUUUCAAUUUUAAAAAGAGCGUAUUUUGCUUGCCUUUACAAUCUUAUAUCAUGAAAGUUAAUAAUAUACCCUAUUCUGUUUUAAAAAUUGAUGCUUUUGGGGGCACCUGAGUGGCUCAUUCAGUUAGAUAUCUGACUCUUAAUUCCGAUUCAGGCCAAGAUCUAGGGGGUGUGAGAUUGGGCCCCACAUUGUGCUCCAUAUUUAGC